AGCUCUUGAAACUGGGAGACUUGAGUGCAGGAGAGGAGAGUGGAAUUCCUAGUGUAGCGGUGAAAUGCGUAGAUAUUAGGAGGAACACCAGUUGCGAAGGCGGCUCUCUGGACUGUAACUGACGCUGAGGCACGAAAGCGUGGGGAGCAAACAGGAUUAGAUACCCUGGUAGUCCACGCUGUAAACGAUGAGUACUAGGUGUCGGGGGUUACCCCCUUCGGUGCCGCAGCUAACGCAUUAAGUACUCCGCCUGGGAAGUACGCUCGCAAGAG
rnacentral:rRNA from 1 species